GACGAACGCUGGCGGCGUGCUUAACACAUGCAAGUCGAACGGAAAGGCCCUGCUUUUGUGGGGUGCUCGAUUGGCGAACGGGUGAGUAACACGUGAGUAACCUGCCCUUGACUUUGGGAUAACUUCAGGAAACUGGGGCUAAUACCGGAUAGGAGCUCCUGCUGCAUGGUGGGGGUUGGAAAGUUUCGGCGGUUGGGGAUGGACUCGCGGCUUAUCAGCUUGUUGGUGGGGUAGUGGCUUACCAAGGCUUUGACGGGUAGCCGGCCUGAGAGGGUGACCGGCCACAUUGGGACUGAGAUACGGCCCAGACUCCUACGGGAGGCAGCAGUGGGGAACAUUGCACAAUGGGCGGAAGCCUGAUGCAGCAACGCCGCGUGCGGGAUGACGGCCUUCGGGUUGUAAACCGCUUUCGCCUGUGACGAAGCGUGAGUGACGGUAAUGGGUAAAGAAGCACCGGCUAACUACGUG
rnacentral:rRNA from 1 species